rnacentral:ncRNA from 1 species
UGGACACGCGAAACAAGUGCAGUUCAACACGGCUGACGCCGGUACCUGAUACGGCCGGCGCAG